rnacentral:tRNA from 1 species
AUAAAAAUUAGUUAAAUGUAAUAACACAAGUUUGUCAAGCUUGAAUAAUCUCCUAGAUAUUUUUA